AUAACACUUAGAAAUAGGUGCCAAUACCGCAUAAGCGCACAGUCCCGCAUGGGACAGAGUGAAAAACAUUAGUGGUGUAAGAUGGACCCGCGUCUGAUUAGCUUGUUGGCGGGGUAACGGCCCACCAAGGCGACGAUCAGUAGCCGGCCUGAGAGGGUGGACGGCCACAUUGGGACUGAGACACGGCCCAAACUCCUACGGGAGGCAGCAGUGGGGGAUAUUGGACAAUGGGGGAAACCCUGAUCCAGCGACGCCGCGUGAGUGAAGAAGUAUUUCGGUAUGUAAAGCUCUAUCAGCAGGGAAGAAAGAAAUGACGGUACCUGAGUAAGAAGCCCCGGCUAACUACGUGCCAGCAGCCGCGGUAAUACGUAGGGGGCAAGCGUUAUCCGGAAUUACUGGGUGUAAAGGGAGCGUAGACGGUAAUGCAAGUCUGGAGUGAAAGGCGGGGGCCCAACCCCCGGACUGCUCUGGAAACUGUGUAACUGGAGUGCAGGAGAGGCAGGCGGAAUUCCUAGUGUAGCGGUGAAAUGCGUAGAUAUUAGGAGGAACACCAGUGGCGAAGGCGGCCUGCUGGACUGUAACUGACGUUGAGGCUCGAAAGCGUGGGGAGCAAACAGGAUUAGAUACCCUGGUAGUCCACGCCGUAAACGAUGAUUACUAGGUGUAGGUGGGUAUGGACCCAUCGGUG
rnacentral:rRNA from 1 species